CAGCAGCUGUUGUGGCUGCGUUGCCUCCGUGUUCAUGAAACCUGGCCAUUCCAAAAUCUCCUAACCUACCAUUGAACUCGGCGUCUAACAUAACGUUGGAAGCUUUAACAUCUCGGUGCAGAACAACGCGGUCAGCACCUGUAUGAAGGUACCACAGAGCAGAUGCUAUUCCUUUAACAACCACAAGUCUUUGUGACCAAGAAAGAACUGAUUUGGCAUCAUCAAACAAAUGCUCGUCAAGACUACCGUUAGGCAUGUACUCCGAGACAAGAAGAAGCUCAUGCUUUCUCCUGCAAUACCCGAAAAGUGGAACAAGAUUCCUGUGCUUCAGAUAUCUCAUGCUCACAACUUCAGCCAGAAAUUGCUUCAAACUUUCAUCACCAUUAUGGGACACUCUCUUCACUGCUAUUUCUCUGCCUUGCGGAAGAGUUCCUCUAUAGACUUCACCAAAGCCUCCUUUCCCGAGGAACUCAUCUUUACUGAAACCCUUUGUUGCUUUGUACAAGGACUUGUAAGAGAACCGAUGUGCAUCAAACUCCUUCUCCCAUGUUUCAGAAACUUCAGAAUACUUCUUCCUCCUGUGGACAUAAACUCCUACAAGAAAAGCCAAAACCGCAACAGCCACACAAACAACAAGAACAAUAAUCCAUGUAGCCAGAUUCUUAUGCGGAGCUUUGGGAUGAGGAACUUUAGGAAGUUUUGAGAUGUCAAGACCAUGCAGUGAUCCUCUGCCUGUGCUAAAACUCCACCAAAGAAUAUAGUGAUCACACACCUUGCUCCCUGUUGCUGCGGAGAAGCCAACACACAGUUUGGAUCUAUUCCAAAAUAUUUCUGAAAGGCUGAUGUGUUGUGACAAAAGAGGCCGACUUGGCUUCUUGACUUUAAGAGGUGCGAUCGAGACAUUGAGCACAGUGCCGUCAUAAUCCACCCAGACUUGUACAGGCUUUCCAGUCAAGAGGUUCAUGCUUUCGUUUUUCCCUUUUGUGUCUGAAUAGUAAGAUGCUGAAGCUACUCCUACAGAUAUAGGACUGUUCACAUCAAUCCCCACGUGAUUGCUUUUGAGAUCAUUGAACUGUGGGUUAUAAAUAGUGUCAAGCUCAAUAGCAAGAACAGGAAACCCACUUGUUGUUGCGUUAAAAGCCCCCAAGAAUCUUUUAUCUUGUGCGUGCGAGAAAUCCAUAGAAGAAGAUACUAAAAAGGCAAGACCAUGGCCGCCUUCUUUACCUGGCUUAGGCACCAGAGCACACACGAAAUGUGUUGAGAAGGAACUGAACUGAAUUGGAUUCUUGUAGAAUGCCCGGCCUAUUUGAUGAUCUGAAUCGUUUGUCAGCUGCAAUAUUCCAUGGGGAAGUACUUUCGCAGAAGCAUCUAGAUAAAGAUCUUCUUGGGAGCUAAAACUUUCAUAGACAAACCUUGUCUCUUGUUGACUUGAUAGAGAAACCAGAUGAAGAGAAGAGAUAAGGAGGAUCUGAAGCAGCCAACGAGCCAUUGCAGAUGAUGAAUCAGAGAGUGUGGAUCUGAUGUGAAGAUCUUCUCUCAACACCAAGCGACGCAUUUCGAAAACCUCGCAAGCUGGAGAAAAGGUGAACAAGAAAAAGAUGUGAGCUUCUGUUUCAGUGAUCUAAGCCUGUCAAUGUUGUUUUCUUAUAAAACUGGACUCCACUUAACACGUUGAUAUUAAAUAAAGUAUAACGUGGUACAUACGGGGUAGUAGGGCGGGGUGUUCGGCUACCCAUUCGGGUUCGGUUCAGAACUAUUUGGGUUUCGGAUUUUCGGGUUUAAAGAUUUCAGUCUCGUUCGGAUAUUUUUAAAUUUCGGUUCGGGUUCGGUUCGGAUCUUUGCGGGUUCGGUUCGGGUUCGGAUAACCCAUUUAAAUUAUUUUUUAAAUUUUAAUAUUCAUUAUAUGCUUAAAAUUUCUCAAAAUCUAUAAAAAUAUAUAUAUAUAUAUAUGUAAUAUAUAUUUGUAUAAUAUAUGUCAAAAUACCUAAAAUUAACAUAUAAAUUGGUUUGAUUUGAAUAUUUGGAUAGAAAAUCAAUAGAUAUUUCAAUUAUUUUGGUGUUUUGAAUUUAUUUUAGCUAUUUUACACAUUUACUUUUGACUAUUUAUGUAUAUUUUCAAGUAUUUUAGACAACUUAAAAAGCCUGAAUCAUCUUCUGGUGUUUCUGGUGUUGAUUCAUGCUCAUUGCACUACAAGAAAACAGCGGUAUUCUGAUGGACAUUCUGACGAAAAAUAGUUUUUAAUAUAUAUUAAAUCUAAAAAUAAGUAAUAUAUUUAAGUGUAUAAAUCUAUUUCGGUUACAUUCGGGUACCCGAAAUAUUUCGGUUCGGAUCGGGUUUGGUUUCGGUUCUUUAGAUAUCAAAAUUUUGAAUCCGUUCGGAUAUUUAAUCAAUUUCGGUUCGGGUUUGGUACUACUUUUUCGAAUCGGGUUUGGUUCGGUUCUUCGGAUAUGGGUUUUUUGCCCAACCCUACGGGGUAGCAAACAUAAUUAAACUAAUCAAACCAUGAAACGUGAGAGAAACGGUAGUUAGGUCCUACUUUGUUUACCUAACCCAUUACGAUUAUUUAAUUAAGCUCUGCAGGGUGCAGGAGAACACGUUCACACAUGAAAAAUAAAUCAAAUAACUAUAGCAUAAUACACUCUUGUGCUACUCAGAAACCGCAAGUAAGGGCGGGAAUUGCACAGACCGCCUUCUUUCAUUUGUUGGUUAUGUCUCUGCAGUAGGUUGAAACUAAGAAAACAUAAAGUCCCUAAAUGUACAAUUUAUAAACUUAAUUACAAGCUACCAGCUUUACCUUGGGGAUGGUAUGGUAUCGUAGAGAAAAUUCAUUAAUGUAAAUGAGAAUCAGAUGAGAGGUUGGUGGUCGAAUACCUGCUCUAACGAAGGAAGAAUCCAACAAUCAGCAGGGGAUAUGACAUGCAACUUCAAGAUUCCUUCACUGAGACUCUCAGUUCUGGCACAUGAUUUGUGCAAAGCAAAACCUCAGCUGAGAAUUCUACGCUCAACACUCGGGUCCACCGACAGGCAUCCACACAUGUCUCUUUUCAAAGGUUACUUCAAGCACAAAGGCAUACAUGUCGGUUGCACAGAAAGCUGCCAUUGUUGCAAGCUCUGGGGAGAUUGUGGUAUCCAGCUCCCACAAAUGCUGGCUGCGGUGAUUAUGUUGUCACAGUGAUCGUAAAAGCCUAAACAUAACAGAACUUAUUAACACAUCAGUAUCUAACAUAACAUCAGAAGCCUUGAUUCAAUCAAUCAACUUAUUGAGCCCCUCUGUGCACUACCUUUACAAGUAGAGACUCCAAGAACCUAAGAUCACUUUUAAAACCAGUAGAAGGAAGCACUGUGCUGAGAUUUUAAAACGAAUUCAUCAAAUACCAAGCAGAUAAAAGGAGAUUCACCUUCUCCUAAUCCCUAAUCGGGGGGAUUCCUGGGAAUUAGUAGGGAACGAAAGAGACAGAUACUCAGACAAGAUUCGUAUCAAAUCAAAAUACAUUACAAUCAAGUCUCCACAUUAGCAUUUGAAGACUCAACAAUCGACAGAGUAAGCAAAACGGAUAUUACAUUUUUCAUUAGAAAGAAUACUUGCACAUCACCAUUAACUCUUUGUGAUUCAAAUCAAACCAAGCAAACGAAAGAGAAGAAUUAAAACAAAAUAGCAACACAGAACACACAAACAAAGAAGUAACAAGCUUGCUUCACAGAUCUCCUGGGUAGGAGGAGGGCAUGAUGACUGAAGAACAAAUGGAAGAACAAGAGAGAGACUUAGAACAGAAAUCAAGAGUAAGAGAAAUAGAGCAAAGUAGGAUUUUAUUUUCCUCAGAUUUAGAUCUGUGUAAAAAGGAUUUUUAUAGCCAAAUACAUAAACAUUAAAGAUAUGGAAAAAAGAAAAAGAGAUGAGAUUCCAACAGCUAUAUCCAACAACUAUAUUUUUGAAUUUGAACUUCUUUUGGACUGUAGUGAACAGUGCUGCGAAUCCCUUCAGCACCAAAGUGCUCAAUGCAGGUUUCUCAAAUCGCUCACUUUGACCAAAGUGCUCAAUGCAGGUUUCUCAAAUCGCCCACUUUGAUGCCGUAGGUAAUAUGUUCUUUAACAUCAAAGUGCUCAAUGUAGCUAUCUCAAAGUUCUCACUUCAAUGCUGUAGGCAAACUUGAUCUCUUAAUAUCAAUACUACUCCUCAAGCUUGACCAUAAGAAAUGGGUAAGUUUGGAACCCAUGAAGACAUCCCUCAUUAAAACCUUUGUGUGAAAAGCCAGUGGGACAAAAACAGACAAAGGAAAAAAAAGUAGAUGCUUCAUGGCUAAGGAAAUCAUGAUCUAAAUAGGUUUAUAAGUCCCAACCUUGGAUGAAUGAACUUACAGACUUUGGUGCUUGCCCCUUUGGUAAAGAUAUCUGUCAAUUGAUCUUCACUUCUUGUAUAGCAAGGUAAGAUGAUCUUCUGCUCUACUGCUUGUCUCACUUUGUGACAGUCCACUUCAAUGUGCUUUGUCCUCUCAUGAAACACUGAGUUUGAUGCAAUGUGAAUGGCCGCCUGAUUAUCACAAUGCAUUGUGAUUGGUGUGGUUAUCUCUAUGCCCAAGUCUCUUAGGAGGUUUUUGAUCCAAAUGAGUUCACUCGUGAGCUUCCUCAUUGCCCUAUAUUCUGCUUCAGCACUUGAACAUGACACCACCUUCUGCUUCUUGCUUUUCCAAGUCACUAGGUUACCUCCAAUAAAGGUACAAUAACCGGUUGUGGACCUCAUGUCCACUCUAUCACCAGCCCAAUCUGUAUCACAAUGUCCCACAAUCUCUGUGCUCUUGUUGCAGCCCAUUCAUACACCAUGGCCUGGAGCUUCUCUUAGGUACCUCAAGAUCCUUUCCACCAUAUUCCAAUGGUGAACUUUAGGUGCUUGCAUAUGCUGGCUGACUUGAUUUACAACAAAGCAGAUGUCUGGUCUUGUGAUGGUGAGAUAAAUCAACUUCCCAACCAUUAUUCUAUAGAGUUUGAAGUCUCCAAAUGGCUUAUCUUCAAACUCCCCCUCACGCAAGACUUUGUAACCUUCUUCAAGUGGUGUUUUGGCUACUCUUUCUCCAAGUUUUCCUGCCUCAUUUAAAAGAUCAAGUGUGUACUUUCUUUGAGAUAAGAAAAGCCCCUUUUUAGAGCGGCAUAUUUCUAUCCCUAGAAAGUACUUUAGCUCACCCAAAUCUUUAAUAUCAAAGGUAGAUUUAAGAAAAGCUUUAGUAGAGAUGAUACUUUCCUUGUCACUUCCUGUGAUAAUAAUGUCAUCCACAUAGAUCAGUAUCACCAUAAUUUCUUGCUUGCCUGUGAGAGCGAAGAGAGUAUGAUCAGUUUCUGAUUUUACAAACCCUCUUCCAUUGAGGGUUGUACUCAGCUUGUGAUACCAGGCUCUUGGAGACUGUUUUAAUCCAUAGAUUGUUUUCUUCAGCCUUAGGACAUUUCCUGGCUUGACCAUGUCUUCCAUACCAGGUGGUGGUCUCAUAUACACUUCAUCUUCAAGCUCUCCUUGUAGAAAUGCAUUCUUGACAUCCAUCUGCCAUAGAUCCCAUUCCAAGUUCACAGCCAAAGAGAGCAGAAUUCUUAUGGUGUGGAGCUUAGCUACUGGUGCAAAGGUGUCUAGAUAGUCUUCUCCAUAGACUUGGGUGUAUCCUCUUGCAACUAGUCUUGUUUUCUUCCUUUCUGGCUUUCCAUUAGCCAAGUACUUGACAGUGUAGAUGAGGCGACUUGUUACUGCUCUCUUGCCUUUGGGAAGUUCAGUUUCAUACCAAGUAUCAUUCUUGACCAUGGCAUUGACUUCAUCUCCAACUGACUCUCUCCAUUCUUCAUCAGCCAUAGCUUCCUCAUAUGUUUUUGGAACAUACUCUUGGUCCAGGUUACUAAUGAAAGCUACAUGCUCUUGAGGAUAGCUUGCAAAGGAGCAGGUUGCUUGGAUAGGAUGAGCCACUGCGUUGCUGUUGAAGUAUAUUCUGGUGUCGACCCACUUGGAUGGUUUCCUCACUCUAGCACUCCUCCUCAAUGGUUGAAUCUGCUCUUCUACCACUGCGUCUUCAUACUGAUCAGAUUCAACUCCAUCUUGAUCAUGAACUGAUGCUGAAUCAUCUUCUGGUGUUUCUGGUGUUGAUUCAUGCUCAUUGCACUACAAGAAAACAGCGGUAUUCUGAUGGACAUUCUGACGAAAAAUAAAAUCCUCAGAAUAUCCCGAGGAAUUUCCGAGGAAACACAAAAUUUGGUUUCCUCGGAAUUUCCUCGGAAUAAACCGACGGAAUUCUGAGGAAAUAUUAAUCCGACGGAAUAUUCUUAUGGAAUACCGAGGAAAAAUGUAUUCCUCGGAAAAAACCGAUGAAUUCCGAGGAUAUAUUAUAGCCGUUAUAGAGCCGUUGGGGGAUUUUAAAAAUUCCGACGAAAUUCCGACGAACUAGCCGUUUCCGUCGGAAUUCCGUCGAAAUUUCCUCGGUCUGUCGGCAGGAUUUCAACUAUAAAUACUAGCACCCCUCUUCCUCUUCAUUCACUCCAUAUCUUCAUCCUCCCUCUUACUCUCUUUACACACGAAUUUGAUUCAUAAAAAACAUGUCUUCUUCAAAUUAUUUUCGUUCUUGGAUCGAUCGACCUCAUUUGGAUCCGAACACGAGAUUGCUUACGGAAGAAUACCAACGAGGUAUAACCGAAUUCAUGGGGUUAGUUCACCGACAACCGGAAGCAAAAACAGGUAUGUUAAGAUGUCCUUGCUCUAAUUGUAAAAAUAGAAAGGUUAUUAAAGAGUGGGAUGUUUGGACUCAUCUAUAUUUGAGUGGGUUUACACGAAGUUACAAAAUUUGGUAUCAUCAUGGGGAAACUGAUUAUGAACAUGGUAGUACUAGCGAACCUCAGCCAGCGGUUAGAUUAGAAGAACCAAUUAGAACGGAUGUAGAUUAUGGUGUAGGUACUGAGCAGAUGGUAAAUGAUCAUUUUAGAGGGAAAGAUUUACCCAAUGCACAAGCUAGGAGAUUUUAUGAUAUGUUGGAUGCUGGAAAGCAACCAUUGUACGAAGGUUGCAGAGAUGGUCAUUCAGCUUUAUCAUCUGCUACAAGAUUGAUGGGCAUUAAAACAGAUUAUAAUUUGGCUGAAGACUGUGUGGAUGCGAUUGCUGAUUUUGUAAAAGGUAUUCUACCCGAGGAUAAUGUAGCUCCUGGUUCAUACUACGAGGUUCAGAAACUCGUAGCUGGUCUUGGUUUAUCGUAUCAGGUAAUAGAUGUAUGCAGCGACAACUGCAUGAUUUAUUGGAGGGCGGAUGAACAGCGGGUUACAUGCAAAUUUUGUGGAAAGCCUCGUUAUAAAGAUACGAGUGGAAGAGUUCCAGUGCCAUAUAAAAGGAUGUGGUAUUUACCUUUGACGGAAAGGUUGCAGAGGUUGUAUCUGUCUGAACGCACAGCGCAACCAAUGAGAUGGCAUGCGGAGCACUCAACAGAUGGUGAGAUCAGACAUCCUUCAGAUGCAAAAGCGUGGAAGCAUUUCCAAUCAAAGUAUCCCGACUUUGCGUAUGAGAGAAGAAAUGUCUACCUUGGAUUAUGUACUGAUGGUUUCAGUCCGUUUGGCAAGAGUGGAAGACAGUAUUCUCUAUGGCCCGUCAUUCUUACACCAUACAACCUACCCCCAAACUUGUGCUUGCGACGAGAGUUUUUGUUUCUCUCGAUUCUCGUUCCCGGACCAGAGCAUCCUAAGAGAUCACUUGAUGUGUUUCUUCAGCCACUAAUAUAUGAGUUGCAACAACUAUGGGCUCAAGGUGCUGAAACAUACGAUGUUUCGUGUAAAGAAAACUUUCAAAUGCGGGCAGUACUAAUGUGGACAAUAAGUGAUUUUCCAGCAUAUGGUAUGUUGUCUGGAUGGACAACGCAUGGAAGGCUAUCAUGUCCAUAUUGUCAAGAUAACACUGAUGCUUUCCAACUAAAACACGGAAGGAAAACGUGUUGGUUUGACUGUCACAGGAGAUUCCUACCACCUGAUCAUCCAUAUCGUAGGAGUAGGAAUUUGUUUACGAAGAACAAGAGGGUGUUUGACAGUCCACCUCCGGAAAUUUGUGGGAAAGAUUUGAAGAUACAACUAAGAGAUUUUGGUGCAGAAAGGACGCCAGAAGUCGGUGGACAUGAGCGUUUUCCGGUAGAUGCUGUUGGAGAACUACAUAACUGGCACAAAAAAAGUAUUUUCUGGGAUCUGCCAUACUGGGAGGAUCAUCUGCUAAGGCAUAAUUUAGAUGUCAUGCAUAUUGAGAAGAACUUUUUUGACAAUCUCAUGAACACGAUCCUUAAUGUUCAAGGUAAAACAAAGGAUAAUUUGAAGUCAAGACUGGAUUUAGUCGAUAUAUGUGCUCGUUCAGAACUUCAUGUUGAUGAGAAUGGUAGGGCUCCUUUUCCCAUAUACCGACUUGAUGCAGAGGGAAAAGAUGCGUUCUUUGAUUGGAUUUCAAACGAUGUGGAAUUUCCAGACGGUUACGCAUCAAAUUUGCGUAACUGUAUCGACAGAAAGGAAGGAAAGUUUACUGGCUUGAAAAGCCACGAUUGCCAUGUAAUGAUGCAGCGCCUCCUUCCGUUCGCCUUCAAGGAACUAUUACCACGAAAUGUUCAUGAAGCAAUUGCAGGGAUAAGUGGUUUCUUCCGCGAUUUAUGCACGAGAUCAGUGACUCUUGAAGGUAUUGAAAAUUUGAAGACUAACAUAGCCGUGAUUCAGUGCAACCUUGAGAAGAUAUUUCCUCCCUCAUUUUUUGAUGUUAUGGAGCAUCUUGUUAUUCACCUGGCAAGAGAAUUGGAACUUGGUGGUCCUGUGCAGUAUAGAUGGAUGUAUCUGUAUGAGCGGUAUAUGUUCCAUUUGAAGAAGAUGGUGAAAAAUUUAAGUAGGGUGGAAGGUUCUAUAGUCGCACAGAUGAUCAAUGAAGAAACUUCAAACUUUGCCGAGUACUACUUUCCAGCAGAAGUUCAGACCAAAAACAGAAGACCUGCUCGGCAUGAUGAUAGAGGCGAACGGGCAACAUAUCAUUUUACGGUUCCAGACAUUUUCACAGACGUUGGACGACUUAGCGGAAAACCAAAGGACCGUCGACUUACUGAGCAGGAGCGCAGUCAUUUGCAAACAUAUUUGCUCACCAACUGCGAAGACGUUCUUCAAUAUGAGAGGUAAAUAAAUGAGCUUACAAAUUUUUAUUUUAACAAGUUGAAAUUUAAAUCUUAAUUAAUUACAUUAUUGUCAUCAUAUACAGGAUUUUCAUGGCAGAAAAGCGGUUCGAGUAUAGAUACGCCACAGAGGACGAACUAGAAGAAAUGAAGCAGAGAGAAUUUACUGGAUGGAUGUUUACUUAUGUGAGUGCUUUAAACAAAUUAAAAUAUAUUUUAUCACAUAUUUAUACUAAUUCACAUUUAUUGAUAUAAUAUAUAUAUAUGUGCUAUUAAUAGGUGUCUGCUGGUUUGGCCAGAGGUGAAACAUUUGACGAUUGGAUACGUGAGAUGGUCGUUGGACCAAACUUUGUUGUGAAGUCAUAUCCGAGAUUUUGUACUCGAGGAUAUGCAUUCACAACUCAGAAGAGGAGACGUUCGAGUACGACUUAUGAUGCUGGCGUUUGUUCUGCAUCAGGAGAUGAUGUAUACUACGGACACAUACAUGAGAUUUUGGAAAUCAAGUAUUUGGGCAUGGUUGGAUUGCGCUGUACUGUUUUCUAUUGUGAUUGGCACGACAACACUCCAGAUCGAGGUGUGAGAACAGAUGCAUUUGGUGUUACAUCAGUAAAUUCGAGGCGAAAGCUGCAAUAUUAUGAUCCUUUCAUUCUUGCUUCUCAGGCCGAUCAGGUAAUUAAAUGUUAAUUAUUCAGAAUGAUUCAUCAUCAUGUGUAUUAAUUUAUAAUUUUUCUAAAUGUUACAGGUUUGUUAUAUCAAGUACCCCCGGGUAAGGAACAGAGAUGAUCCAUGGGUUACUGUUACAAGACUCAACCCGAGAGGCCGAGUUCAGGGAAGUUCUGAGCUGGAAGACCCACUACAACCAAGCACAUCCGGCAACUUAAGUGCAGCAGAAGAUUUAGCUGGAGUUGGCCUUGUAGUCGAUUUAACCGACUUUGGAGAGGAAGCCGUCGUUCACGUAGAGGAUGAACCAGUGAUUGGAGAGUUUCACCAAGAUCCAGAUUCAGAUUCAUCUGGUGAUGAUGACUCGGAAACAGACUACCAUUGAACUUAUUUUUUUUUUUUUUUAAAGAAAUACCGAGGAAAUUCCGAGGAACACUUGAUAUAACCUCUUUCCUCGGAUAAUAGUUAUUUGGUUUAUCUAGCAAGGCAAAGCUGAAUACGAAUUAAAAACUACUCAAAACACAACCAAAUAAAACGAAGAAACCAUGUAAAAGAAAUACGAACUCAUAAUUAAGAAACCCAAAAAAAAACUCAGUUCAAAAUUAACAGAAAAUAAGACCAUAAAACGUUAGAAUAGAAAAGAAAAUAAAAUAGCCGGUGAUAGCUCCUACUCCUCGUCUCCUGCUCCAGAUGUUCCUGCAUCGUUGGGUCUCUUGGACCUCUUUCUUACCCUGUGUGUACCACUCGAACCCGAACCAGAGCUGGAUGGAGAGUUGUCCCGAUGAACUACAUCAUCCUUUUGGCAACGACACGGCCUGAUACGUGAAAUGGCAGCCCAGAUCUUGUGUAGCAUGUCGUUGUUUGUCUUUAUGCUCUGAUCUCUCCAAUGUUGUUGCUGGCGCGAAGUGGCGUUCGGUGGAAGCUCUUGCAGCUUGUACUGGCUGGAGUCUGAUGGGAGUAGCUGAUGGGGUUGUGAAUCAUCUGGAAUGGCUUGUGCAGCCUCAUCUUCUCCUUCUUCAUCAACCACGCCCUUGCCUUUGGUCUGAUAUUUUGGCGUGAAGAAGGAUGGCUUGUCUACUAGUGCGGUAGCAGGGGGUAGGAACUCAACUGCAGCCUCUGAAAGUAGAGCAGUCAGGCCGAUCUGAGGCAGGUGGCAGUAGAGUGUUUUCUUCGCUCGGUCCUGGAAUACGUAGACGUAAGGACCAUCCCGAUCGAUCCUCGAGUGGGGACCAGCUAUGAACUCCUUACUUACUAGAGAAAUGACAUCCAGGUAGUUCCAAGCAAUGUUGUUCGAUCUGUCCAGUGCUACCUGCUGGUUCUUGCAGUCUACACCCACAUGUCUAAGGAUCCGAGUAAUCACUGCACCAAAUCCACAUGCAUUGCUCUUGGAUUUGGUUACUUUCCCCUUGUAUCCUGCUAAGUUUGCGGCCAGCACCGCUCCCAUGUUGAAGGCAGUAGCAGGUGGGAAUGUAGAGUUUCCAAAUGCCGGUAGCAAAUGCCUCACACCUUGGUACAGGAGGCACAACUCCCAUUGCGUGACUGAUGCGGCUGUGGUUGUCCCGUAUAGCAAUGAGCCAAUGAGGCGUGUGGCAUAUCUCAGUACUGGGCUCCGGAUAAGUGACUCCUUUGCCUGAGAAGAUCUAUAAACCCCUGUGCCAAUCGUUUCCCAGAAGUUCAACAGCUCUGAAGUCCAAUAAAGACCAGAUGUCCUCUCCCCUGCACUCAAUCCAAAUAGUCCGCAGAGGUCUGUGAAAGAUACCUCAUAGUAUACUUUCUGCACUACGAAUGCCAGAAAACCUUCCUGAUGGCUAUCAUCGGGACGGGUGACGUAUGCGGAUGCUAUGAACUGGCGUACCAACUCCGGAUAAGUGGGUUCCUUGAGGUUGCAUAGUUGGCCUAGACCCAUGUUCUGGAACAGUCCUUCAAUGUCUGCUUUGAUUCCCAAUAUUGUCAUCGUCUCAGGACAUGCUAGUUGUGUAGCCGGAACGGCUACCUUCUUCAUGUUGUUGUAGUGGGUGGUAUCAGACUUAUCCCACUUCUUUGGCCUUUGCUUCUCCAGCUGUGACGAACCCGCUUCUUGUGUGUUUUUCUUUGCUGAUGUUUUCGUGCGCUUCAUUCUCUACAAAAUAGAAUCAUUGCUCUCAACAUGGUUAUAAUCAAUUAAGAAGGCAAAGCUGAACAUGAAAAUGAAAAGCAAAAUCGAGUUGUGAUAAAAAAAAACGAAAUUGAAAAAAAUUCUCUAUCCCUAAAUCAUCUCAAAUCAUGUUCCAAACUCGUUGAUCACAGACAAUUGUGUUCUAUUCCAUGUUUAAACAUCUGUUUCAUGCAUAUUUGAUCAAGGAAUCAACACGGAAAUAAGAAAUUCACAAAACCCAAAAAAUUGCUCAAGAACACGAUUUCAGAAUGUGGAGAUUCGCGGAGUAUACCUGUCUUAGGGUGAAGACGAGUGUAGGAAUCAGGUAGAGCUCGAAAAAUCAAGUGGAAUAGAGCCCAAAAUUGUUCAAAUCGGAUGAUUAUAGAGAGAGAAAGGGGGGCGAAUUAUAGGGGAAAUCGGAGGGGAUGAGAGUUCUAAGGUUUAGAUCCAAAAAAGGUCGGGUUUUGCCUUAUAAUUCUGUUUUCCGAACACGCAUCGAUCGAUGCGUUUUGUUUCUAUAACGCAUCGAUCGAUCACAUUCUUACGGCCCGGGCCAUCUUGGUAAUCGAUCGAUGCGUUUUUGUUCUAUAACGCAUCGAUCGAUGCGUUUUUAAAAAAACAUACAAGAUUUUCCGAGGAAAUUCCGAGGAACAAUUCAGAUUGUCGAUCGAUCGAUGGGAUACUCUCAUCGAUCGAUCACAAUCUUACGGCCCGGUCCAUCCUAGUAAUCGAUCGAUGCGUUUUUGUUCUAUAACGCAUCGAUCGAUGCAUUUUUAAAAAAACAUACAAGAUUUUCCGAGGAAAUUCCGAGGAACAAUUCAGAUUGUCGAUAGAUCGAUGGGAUACUCUCAUCGAUCGAUCACAAUCUUACGGCCCGGUCCAUCCUAGUAAUCGAUCGAUGCGUUUUUGUUCUAUAACGCAUCGAUCGAUGCAUUUUUAAAAAAACAUACAAGAUUUUCCGAGGAAAUUCCGAGGAACAAUUCAGAUUGUCGAUAGAUCGAUGGGUUACUCUCAUCGAUCGAUCACAAUCUUACGGCCCGGUCCAUCCUAGUAAUCGAUCGAUGCGUUUUUGUUCUAUAACGCAUCGAUCGAUGCAUUUUUAAAAAAACAUACAAGAUUUUCCGAGGAAAUUCCGAGGAACAAUUCAGAUUGUCGAUAGAUCGAUGGGUUACUCUCAUCGAUCGAUCACAAUCUUACGGCCCGGUCCAUCUUAGUAAUCGAUCGAUUCGUUUUUGUUCUAUAACGCAUCGAUCGAUGCAUUUUUAAAAAAACAUACAAGAUUUUCCGAGGAAAUUCCGAGGAACAAUUCAGAUUGUCGAUAGAUCGAUGGGAUACUCUCAUCGAUCGAUCACAAUCUUACGGCCCGGGCCAUCUUAGUAAUCGAUCGAUUUGUUUUUGUUCAAAAACGCAUCGAUCGAUGCGUUUUUUAAAAAAAAAUUACGUUUUGAAACCCCAAACACUAGUUCGUCGGAAUUUCCUCGGAAUAUUCCGAGGAAAUUUCGAGGAAGAAGAGGGUUUCGUCGGAGUUCCCUCGGAAUAAUCCGAGGAAAUUCCGAGGAAAUAGGGUUUUUAAACCGAAAACAACGUUUUGCCGUUUGAAUAACACCUAUAUAACCCUUAUUAAGUGUCUUACGUUCAUUAUGAAGUCAAAAAUUUGUUCCUUACCGUAUAAUUAACACUUUUCCGAUUGUAUGAACGAAAUCUCGCAACAUAAGAGAAACACUUAUACCUUUUAAUGAACGGUAAAGGGAAUACUUUCAAUUAGUUUUGAAAUUUGUUAUUUCAUGGUUUAUGCUCAUGUAUACAAAGAAUCCUCAAUGGUAUGCAUUACAAUUGUAUAAGAAAUGAAAUACGGCAAAAAAAAUUGAUGUUUUGAAACCCCAAACACUAGUUCCUCGGUAUUUCCUCGGAAUAUUUUCAUUUUACCGGGCAAAUAUUUCGCGAAAAUUGAAAUUAGAAUUCCGACGGAAUUCCGACGGAUAAUGUCCGUCGGACCCUAGGUUUUAUAACCACGAGCCCCUUCUUCUUCCCCAUUUCUCUCUUCUUCCUCUGCGCGACUCCUCUCUUUCUCUCCGGCGAUUUCCCCCUGAAAUCCGACGAUAUCUCCGGCGAUCUCCCUCUUCUCUUACACAAAUCAUGUAAGGACCCUAUCCCACUCUCUUAGGUUCUAUUUGUUAGGUUUUUGUGUAGUUUUGAUAGAUUUUUGUUAGGGUGAUUGGUUAGGAUUGUGAUUUGGUUGUAUAAUAGGUUUAGAAUUGUGAUUUGGUUGAAUAAUUUGUUUUGUUGAAUUGAUUUAGAAUUUUUUUAUAAUUUUUUUAUUUUUUGUAUUUAUAAAAUCGAUUUUUGUAUAUAAAAUCGAUUUUUGUAUUUUACAAAACGAUUUUUCUAUAUAAAUUCGAUUUUUUGGAUUUUACAAAAAAAAAUUUCUAUAUAAAUUCGAUUUUUUGGAUUUUACAAAACAUUUUAAUUAUUAAACAAUUUUUAUUUAUUAAAACUAUUUUUGUUUAUUAGAACUAUUUUUAUAUAUUUAUUAAAAAAAUUUAAUAUAUAUAAAUCUUUUUCUGUGAUUAAAUUAUUUGGGAUUUUUUUUUAAUAAAAAAAAUUAAUUUAUAUAUUUCUGUAUUUAUUAAAUAUAUAUUUUUUAAUUUACAGGUCUCAUGAUGAUCAGACCCGGCCUCGACAGCGUCGUGGUCGUGGUGGUACGGGGAGCCAGUCUCGGGAUUCCAGCCAUUUUCAGGAUUCCCCUUCGCCCCACAGCUCCAACCAUACAUCUCCCUCUGCUGCACCCGCUCAUGCUCCUCUCGCUCCCGCUGCUGCAUCCGCUCCUGUUCCUCCGGGUCCUCCGGGAGUGAUGAGGGUUGCGGAGUUGGUUCAACAGCCCGGUCGUGACCAUCUUCCGUAUCUCACUCCGUAUCCACAUGGACGGGGUCAAACAUGGUAAUUAAACAUAUUUUUUUUUCAUUAAAAUUUGAUUCAUUAUUAAGCGUUUGUUCUUUUCAUUAUGUUCAACCGAUCCGGGAACGGGAUCAGUGCAUGGAUCAACCGUAUGAUGUACUCGGCCCUCGACAGUGGACAUCCGACUUUCACUCACUUCCCAACCGACAAGCAGGUUCUGUGGUUUCGUCAGUUUGCGGUAAGUAUUCUAAUUUUUUACUUAUAUUUUUAAUCUUUAAUAUAAAUUUUCUACUAAUUGUGUUUUUUUUUCAGCAAGAAUUCAACUGGAAUUCCGAUGAGACGCUCUUUAUCUAUCACCACUUCGUCCAUAAAGUUAUGGACAACUAUGGGAAGCAGAUCCACGAGUGGAAGAGGAAGUGGGAAAUCAACAAGGUUCGAUUUAAUUUAUUAAACAAUUUUUUAAUUUAUUAAACUUUUUUUAUUUAUUAAACUAUUUUCUCUUUUUUUUUAUUAAAAGGUCUCAAAGUCGAUAAACAACAUGGUCUGGACGGAGUUGUGUGCGCAUUGGGAUAAGGAAGAGACGAAAGAAACUUCUUCCACCAACUCCACCAACCGCAGGAGCGACCGUAAAGGGAAGGGCGUCUUCAAGCAUAACUUGGGUGCUCAAUCUAUUGCCUCUCUGAGAGAUCGCAUGGUAAGUUCAGCCGCUUUUUCUUCAAUUAUUUAAGUUUUGAAAUUUUAUUUUUUGUCUAUUUCUUCUAAUUUCUAAUGUUUCUUUAAUUUAUGUUUUUUUCAAGGCAGAAGAAAAUGAUGGCGAGCCGGUUGAUGAUUUCGACCUAAUGAAGAUGGCAUAUACUAACAAGAAGACCGCCCAGAUUGAUGACGGUCUUGUGAGGGAAGUGGCCACCCUUGUCCAAACUCAGGUGCAAACAAGCAGCAUCUGUGGUUUCGUCAGUUUGCGGUAAGUAUUCUAAUUUUUUACUUAUAUUUUUAAUCUUUAAUAUAUAUUUUCUACUAAUUGUGUUUUUUUUUUCAGCAAGAAUUCAACUGGAAUUCCGAUGAGACGCUCUUUAUCUAUCACCACUUCGUCCAUAAAGUUAUGGACAACUAUGGGAAGCAGAUCCACGAGUGGAAGAGGAAGUGGGAAAUCAACAAGGUUCGAUUUAAUUUAUUAAACAAUUUUUUAAUUUAUUAAACUUUUUUUAUUUAUUAAACUAUUUUCUCUUUUUUUUUAUUAAAAGGUCUCAAAGUCGAUAAACAACAUGGUCUGGACGGAGUUGUGUGCGCAUUGGGAUAAGGAAGAGACGAAAGAAACUUCUUCCACCAACUCCACCAACCGCAGGAGCGACCGUAAAGGGAAGGGCGUCUUCAAUCAUAACUUGGGUGCUCAAUCUAUUGCCUCUCUGAGGGAUCGCAUGGUAAGUUCAGCCGCUUUUUCUUCAAUUAUUUAAGUUUUGAAAUUUUAUUUUUUGUGCAUUUCUUCUAAUUUCUAAUGUUUCUUUAAUUUAUGUUUUUUUCAAGGCGGAAGAAAAUGAUGGCGAGCCGGUUGAUGAUCUCGCCCUAAUGAAGAGGGCGUAUACCAACAAGAAGACCGGCCAGAUUGAUGACGGUCUUGUGAGGGAAGUGGUCACCCUGGUCCAAACUCAGGUGCAAGACGAAGUGUCUCAGCUUCAAACCGAGGAUGACGCUUCGACGGCUUCGACCAACUUGUCCCGGUUUCGAAUCAACGAAAUCGUUGAAUCCGUAAGUUCUUUUUUUUUAAAGUUCAAUUCAUUUAUUUCUUGAUUUAAAUUUGGCUAUUUUCUAUUUCAGUCGGUUCCAAAGAAGAAGGGACGUUUGGUCGGUUUGGGUCGUCGCACCCGGUCGGUUCCUCCUUCUUCUGCACCACCGCCCUUUGUUGAUCCAGAAGUACUUACGGCUCAGUUGAAGGACAAGGAUGAUCGCAUAUCUUUGUUGGAGACCCAGAUGGCGGCUCAACAGGCGGGCUAUGAGGCACAGAGGAGGCUGAACCAGCAAAUGAUGGAGAUGAUGCAGAGGAUGUACCCGAACGAGGUGUUCCCGAACGUGCCAGACCCGUAGUUUUUUUUUUUUCAAAAACUCGGAAUGUUUUAUUUUUAUUUGUACAACUUUGAAUAUUAACUAAUAUGAUUUCAAUUUUAAUUUUAAUUUUAUAUUUUCGAAUUUAAAUUUCAAAAAUUUUAUUUUUUUAAAAAAAAAUAUUUUUUUUUUAAAUUCCGAGGAAAUGAACCCUCGGAAUAUACCGAGGGACAUGUUCCUCGGAAUAUACCGAGGGACUCAUUCCUCGGAAUAUACCGAGGGACUCGUUCCUCAGAAUUUUCCGAGGGCUCCGUUCCUCGGAAAUUCCCGAUGAAAAUUCCGAGGAACAUUUCGUCGGAACUUCCGAGGAUUGGACCAUCGGAAAUUCCAUCGAAAUAUCCCGAGGAAGUUCUCCCUCGGUAUAUUCCGAGGAGCUUUCCGACGAACUGGUGGUCCUCGGAGUUUCCUCGGAAAUUUGUUUCCUCGGAAUUCCGUCGGAAAAUUCCGAGGGAUUUCCGAGGAAAAAUGAAUUUCCGAGGAGUUAUUUAUGAGGACUUUUUUCGUCGGUAUGUCGUCGGAAUAACGUUAUUCCGACGACAUACCAACGAUUUUUUCCCUCAGUAUGUCGCUGUUUUCUUGUAGUGUUGUCCCCCUCAGGAUCAGGAUGGACUGGUUCAACAAUUGGUACUACUUCUUCAUUGGUUACAGCCACUAGUGUUGAGGGAGAGGUUCUAGGCGCCUCACUGCUCUGAGGCUUACUGAUUCCUAAACUUUCCAGGAUGAUCUUCAGGUUUUUUGCUCUAUUAGAUGGUCCAUGUGAGAGAUCCCUAAGGUUUUCCCAGCUCUUUUCAUCAUAGUACCCUUUGAUUCCACAAACUUGACAUUCCUUGAGACCAUUACCCUUCUUGAGUAUGGGAGGUAACACUUGUAUCCUUUCUGUGUGUAAAAGUAUCCUAUGAACAUAGCUUUGAUACUCUUGGGAUCAAACUUGGUCCUUUGCUCACCUGGUAGCAACACAUAGCACACACACCCAAACACACGCAAGUGAUCAAUAGGAGGUUUAGUUUUGUUCAAUACCUGAAAUGGAGAGACAUCUUUGAGGACUCUGGUUGGGAUUGUAUUGAUGAGAUAGCAUGCAGAAAUCACAGCAUCUCCCCAAAAUCUCUUUGGAACAUUGGUGUGAAACAUCAUGCUUCUUGCAACCUCCAUAAGAUGGCGAUUUUUUCUCUCAGCCACUCCAUUUUGUUGUGGUGUGUAUGGACAUCUUGUCUGGUGAAUAAUUUCAUGUUUUGCUAAGUGUUGUUUGAAGGCAUUGCUAGUGUAUUCUCCCCCAUUAUCAGACCUAAAAAUUUUGAUCUUGGAAUUGAAAUGGUUAGUUACAUAGUUUUGGAAGUUAAUAAAAGCUUCUAAAACUCUAUCUUUACUUUGAAUCAAUGUGAGCCAAGUAUAUUUUGAUUUCUCAUCUAUGAAUGUCACAAAAUAUUUAUGGUUUUCUCUAGAAACACAAGGUGCAGUCCAAACAUCAAAGUGAACUAGAUCAAAACAAUUCUCAUAAAUAGUCAUAGAUGAAGGAAAAACAGAUUUAUGAUGUUUACCAAGAAUGCAAGCCUCACAAGUUUCAUUUUUAAGAGAUAGAUUAGGUAACAUCAGUUGCAAAGCAUGAAAAUGAGGGUGGCCUAAUCUAGCAUGCCAUAACAGCAAGGAUAUGUUCUAAGCUUGGUAUCUUCAAGGAAAUACAGAUCUCCCUUGCUCACGCUUUUGCCUAGCAUCUUACUUGUUUCAAUAUCCUGAAAGCACACAUCAUUAGGACUAAAAAUAAUAUUGCAAUUUAAAUCAUUAGUGGCUCUUUUCACAGAUAAAAGAUUAGAGGAAAAGAGAGGCAUAUAAAAAGCUUGAGAUUCUUUAUCAAACAUAUUCAAAUUUUCUACUCCUUUAAUUGGAAUUCUAUCACCAUUUGCAAUCACAACACUUCCUAGAUCAUUGGCCUAGCAGUGUGUGAUCCAUUGUGAAUAGAGUUUAAGGCAUUAAUACUUUGGUUACCAGGAUUUGCAUUGAGAGCCUUGAUCAAGGCCUCAAUGUCUGACUUCCUGAUAAAUGCAUCCUCAUGAGAUGGCUGAGGCAUGGCGUGAGAGGUGGAGGCACCAGUGUGGGUUGUAGAGACCAAGGCUCUCCCAUUAUCUCCCAUGUGCAUGUAGCUUGGUGCUGGAUGCUCCUGAGCUCUUGCUUCAUGGGCUCUGGUCUGGUUGUAUUUGUUGGCUGAGGCUGGCCUAAGAUGAGGAUGGAUGAUCCAACAGUUGGUUUUGGAGUGUCCUUGCUUCUUGCAAUGUUCACAAGUCAUUGUUUUGUCUCCUCCUCCCCUUGGCUUGAAGUAAGCUUUGUUAGCUGAUGCUCUAUCCAUAUUCUCAGCCUGUGUGCCAUAGAAAGACCUCCUUUUUCACCUCCAAAGAGACCAUCUGAGCCUAUCUCCUUUUGAAGUUGAGCACACACUUCAUCAUAGCAUGGAAGUUUCUUGUCUCUCAAUAUAUGUUUCACCAGAUCAUUGAAGUUUGGGCUGAGUGUGAGAAGCAAUCCAAAGGUCUUGUCUUGCUCACGCCUGGCUUCAAGUGUGUCAGGAUCAUUGGUGCUUGGCCUUAGCAUCUCCAGCUCAGACCACAACUGACUAUACUUCCCAAGGUGUUUGGUGAAGUCUCCUUCUUCUUGCUGUAAGUUGUUGAUGGCUCUCUUCACUUCAAAGAUUCUGCUGAGAUUUGAAGUGUUGCCAUACACCUUGUGCAAAGUAUCCCACAACUGUUUUGUGGUGUUACAAUGUGAGUAAAAGUUCAUAAGAGGACCAUCAAGAGAGCUUUGCAAGGUAGACAGCACCAUGAGAUCUUCCUGAACCCAUUUGCCUUCAUCUACCACUACAACCUCUUUGCCAUCUUCUCCUUGGGUGAUUUGCUUUGGAGCUGAACUUGAAGAGACAUGCUCCCAAAGACUUCUACCUCCAAGGGCUGUUCUGGCCAUCCUAGACCAGGUAAUAUAGUUUCCUGGUCCGUUGAGUGUGACUGGAAUGUGAAUUGCUCUGUAGUGCUCCAUUUCUCUCAAUCUCUCAAGAAAUAAGAUUAGAGACAAAACAGAGUGAGCACAACCAAGAAUUUUGAAGAAAAUACUGAAGAAUACACAAGAACUCAGAUUUAUUAUCCACUCGAUAAAAGAAAUCUGUAGAGAAAUUUUGUGAAAUAAAACCAGAGAGAAAUAGAGUAAGCUUGCGGAAGUAAUUGAGGUAAUCAAGAGCUUAAAGCUCUGAUACCAUGAAAUUGAAUGAAGAACAAAGUGAAGAACAAGAGAGAGAGUGAGAAGAGAAAUCAAGAGUAAGAUAAAUAGAGUAAAGAAGGAUUUUAUUUCCCUUAGAUAUAGAUCUGUGUACAAAGAGGGCUUUUAUAGCCAAAUACAUAAACAUUAAAGAUAUGGAGAGAAGACAAAGAGAUGAGAUUCCAACAGCUAUAUUCUCAACAACUAUAUUUUUGAAUUUGAACUUCUUUUGGACUGUAGUGAACAGUGCUGCGAAUCUUUACAGUACCAAAAUGCUCAAUGCAGGUUUCUCAAAUCGCCCACUUUGACCAAAGUGCUCAAUGCAGGUUUCUCAAAUCGCUCACUUUGAUGCCGUAGGUGAUAUGUCUUUUUCCUACAACAUCAAAAUGCUCAAUGUAGCUAUCUCAAAAUUCUCACUUCAAUGUUAUAGGCAAACUUGAUCUCUUAAUGUCAAUAGACCUAACACAAGCCAAGAAGACAACAAACGUUUAGUAUGGAAAGUUCAAUACCAUUUCACAGCAAAGCAAGAAACGUUCUUCAGUAACUUUAUCUUCCCAUUGAACUCUUUCUAUCCAUUGGUCGUCACUGUAACUGAUGACAAGUUCAUCACCACGAAGGCAGCUUCCAGAACUGAGUGGAAGCUUUCUCAAUGUUGGACACCUUUCUACAUCAAUCGCAGAGGAUUCCUGUAGAUGCUCUUCAACUUCGGUAAGUUACAAUUCAAGCCUUUUAAGCUUAUCAAACGGAGUCUUUGUGCCUCCUGCGUUUUGUCCACCCGUCAAUUUCUUCUCGCUUAUGAUUUCUUCUACCUUAUCUAAACACUGAAGCUUAAGGUAGGUAAGCUUUGAAACAAACAACAACCACGUCAGAUCCUUAAGUCCAUUGCAGCCAGUUAUAGUCACACUUGAGAGGCUCCCUAGUUUUGGAUGUAUCAGAAACGUGUCGUAUGAUGCUCUCCCAAUAUCUAUCUCCAACACACCACACCUCUUUAUGAUGAGCUUACGGAGUUGCAUCAUUGUUGUUGGCAAAACCAAACAUGCUUCGUCACUCUGAAGAUCUCUAAUACACACCUCUUCAAUCCAAUAUGCCAACUCAGGAGCGCUAAGCAAUUGCUUCAAAGCUGAACUGGAGGAUAUGUCUAUGUUUAACCUUUCUAGUCGUUCGAAGCAUUGCAGCUCCUCUAUCGUGCUAGCAUCGAGCAAAACGUUUGAAUCUAGUAGUGCCAAUACCCCUGACUUGAUGCAUUUGAUAACCCAUAAAUGCUCUUGAGUCUCUUGGCCGUUUCCAAGUUGAGAUGUUCUAGACGUUUCAACUUUCCUAAACCAUCUGGUAGUCGCUCUAUCUUUGUCUGUGACAAGUUGAGAUAUCGCAAAGCGAACAAACGUGAUAUCUGUUCCGGCAAUUCCUCGAGCUCAGUGAAAGACAUAUUCAAAACAACUAGCAUUGGCAUAUACUGAAAGAACUCACCAGAGAUACACACCAAGUUGCUGUUUUGUUGGAGAAAGAGAAUCGUAAAUUGAUGACACUCGUGACCGCCAGAUAUCUCUUCAAUCUCAUUAUUCAUCAGCGACAUCUUUCUCACUCCGGUCUAGUUUUGAACAAGUGUAUUGAUAUUUUCAUAACCUCGAUUCUUGGCUAUAUAACGACUUCCGAAUCCACCCACACAUCCUUCGACUUCCCAAUACUCUAUCAAACUAUCUUAACUCAACAUAGAACCUGCAGGGAAUAGAGCACAGUACUGGAUGCAUGACUUCAACUUUCCAUCUUUCAAACUGUCAUAGCUACACUUGAGAAUCAAGAGAAUUUCAUCUUCCUUUUCUGCAAACUCUAUGCGAGGUGAAGAAUUCAGGACGCGCAGUGCAUCAUUCCAUUCUCGCACCUUCUUCUUGCAAGACAUGGUCUCGCCAAGAACAUUCAGCGCCAGUGGUAGACCAUGACAUCUUCCAGAAACUUCUCUUGCCGUCUCCUGAAUUUUCGAGCAGCUUGCGUGUCCUCCAACUUUCAUCUGAAACAAGUCCGAAGCAUCAUUCUCAGCAAGGCACUGGACUUAAAUCGGGUCAGCAACCCCCAUCUGCACACAGACCUCUCGAGAGCGGGUGGUGAAUGCUAUUUUGCGUUUGUUUUCCUUUGUUGGUGAUGGGACUCCUACCUUCGUUAAGUCCACUUUCGUCCACACAUCAUCCAGUAACAACGCAAAUCUCCUGUCCUUCAUGAAGUUGUGUAUAUCAUUGGCCUUCUGGCUUUCCUCUUUUUGGUUCCACUCCUCCCCAUCAAAGCCUAGCUUCUUACCAAUCUCUUCUUGAAUCUUCUUGACAUGCAGAUGUUGAGACACAACAACCCAAAUCACAAACUCAAAUCUGGCAGUGAUCUUGUUGCUGAUCUCUCGGAGAAUAGUUGAUUUGCCUACGCCACCAACUCCGUACAGACAUAUACUCCCGGUUUCACCACUCACGAGGAGGCUCAAAGUCCUUUUGAGAAUUGUUUCCCGGCCAACAAUAUCCAGUCUGGAUCUGGAGAGCCUCUUCUCCUUUGUAGACGUUUCAGUAGCCGGCUCAGCCACAACUUCAAAAACUCCUUUAGAGUUGAGGUCAUUAACCUUUUUCAACACUAAAGACACUCUUUUCCCAUAACCGUAGUUUGAUCUUGACUUCUUUGAACAUAACCUUUGAAGUUCAGUAGUUCUAUUGCUAAGCAGAUAACUGACUUGUCUACUGACGUUAUCAACAUUUUUAAGCCAUACGUUGACUUCUGCAAGCCGUUGCAUACUUUUGGCUUCCUCUUCCCUCUUGACCUUUCUUAACACAUCAGUUUGUCUUGCCUUGAGCUCUUCCAUGUCUCUCUGCAUAGCUGCGAGAUUCUCCUCAAGACUAUUAAUGUAACUCGCUUUGAAGCAUGAAAGGUGGGAAACAUCUUUCAGUACUUGAUCACCAGACAAGGGAACAGAGAAAAAACCUCCCAUCUUUGAUCAGACGAGAAAGAGGGAACCGAAAAAAUGAUAUAAUGUGAGAAAGAGAGUUCCAAAACAAGAAACUUGAAGAUGGUUUCACCUGCACACACCGUUUUUUUUUGUCAUACGGUAGAUUAAGAUUAGAUCAAACAUUCGGUUACACACAUACAAUAAAGACAUUGUCUGAAGCCAAGAGCCGACGAGGUAAUAUAUACCUCCCAGAGCCAACAGAUGAACAAAACACAAACCCCCAAAGCUAACAACAACAAAGAAAAAGAAAGAUGUCGAGAUGCAGGAUAAUAGAACAGAACAACCGGAGAGGAGGCUUCAACCUUGUACCCAAAGACGAGGUUACCUAGCGAGAACUCAUCAACAAUAACCUCAAGAUAAGAAGAGCAGCGAGAUAACCUGGAAGCACACGAACAUCACCAAAACAUAAACUGGGUCGAGAGAGGUUUGAAUCCUUAACCGUCGCUAUAAACACCCUUCAAUCCCAACUAAGAUUUGCCAUUGGACUUUGAGUAGGUUCUCUACGCGCCUCAUACGCACCAACACCCCACGGCGAAGCCUAUAAAAGCUUCCCAAACACACGUCUUAUUCACACAGCCGGUAACUGGAUGAAAACCACUCCAACACCAGGACUAUUACUAACAGAACGGCGGAAAUCGACCAGCAAAGAAGCAUUAACUCCAAAACACAGGUAUCUCCAUCCUAUCCUCACAAAACUAGAAUUGAGCUCACAGCAAGGCUCUGACCAAUAAAGAUCAACAACCACCAGAGAUAACUCCAGAGAAAGGGGAGACACUCCCAAGCCUAGGUAAGUCGCCAACCCCCAACCGCAUCUAAAGCUCACAAACCCCUCCACAAAGACCAAUGCUGCUUGUCACAGAGAAGAAACAGAGGAUAGAGCAUGUUUCCAAAUCAUCCACGCCGACAUCGAAACAAACAGAACCCAGAUCUACAAAGAAAAAAACGAGAUCUGACACAGAUACAUCUUAAAAGCCGACUCCCUUACCCUUCAAACCGAAGACGUCUCGUCGAUGCUCCAACAAGGAGCCCCAGACCGCCGAAUCUAGCUCUCCCGGAGCAGAUCAAGAAUCCAACGCCGAACAGACCCCAACAAGAGGCACCAUACAUAUUGACGCCAUCAACUAAGAGGAGGAGGAGAGCAAAAAUACAAGGAGAAGAGAGAAGAGAAGCAGUCAGUGGCGACGAGAAAGGCCGAACACAAGUGCUCGAUGUUUCUUCUUCAAGAUCGCUCUUUUUUUCUUUACGGCGACUCACGCUUUUCUGGCGAGUAUGAUCCUAUUUUAAUUUUCUUUAGAUGUGAGAAAUUAACAAAAAGUCAAAUUUAUUUUUUAACUAGGUGUUUUGCCCGCGAUACGGGCUUAAACAUUUUUAUAAUUUUUGAAAAGUUAUUUGUACACUAUAUUCAUUAUACUAAAAUAAAUCUUAAAAUAACUUAAUAUUAUAGUUUUAAUUAUAUAAUUAAAAUUUUUAUUUGAUUAAUAUUUAAUUAUAUAAUUUAUAUUUUUAAGUUUUACUAAAAUACUUUUACAGAUAACAAUACAAUAUAUACAGAAAUUAUCUUCUUUUUAAUUAUAUUUUCAGAUUUUGGAUAAUUCUUACUAUUCUUAAUAUUAAUCAAUUAUCUAAUCAAAUUAAUUAAAAUUUCGUUUUUAUUUGUUACUAAUUUAUAUAUUUAAUUCAUUAAGGGUAUAAUCGAUAUUAACCACUCUAACUUUUAAUGUGGGAGCUCCGUUGCGAAAAAUUACUUCGCAAAUAAUAGUAUAGAUUAAGUUCUCUUCAACAAUAUUCUAUUUUUAAUUAUAUAAUUAAGAAUUUUAUUUGAUUAAUAUUUAGUUAUAUAAUUUAUGUUUUAAACUUUUUACUAAAAGACUGUUUCAGAUAACAAUACAUUAUAUAUACAUAAAUUAUCUCGAUUCUGGAUAAUUCAAUAUUCUAUUUUUAAUUAUAUAAUUAAGAAUUUUAUUUGAUUAAUAUUUAGUUGUAUAAUUCAUGUUUUUAACUUUUUACUAAAAGACUUUUUCAGAUAACAAUACAAUAUAUAUACAUAAAUUAUCUCUUUUUUAAAUUAUAUUUUCAGAUUUUGGAUAAUUCUUACUAUUAUUAUUUUUAAUCAAUUAUCUAAUCAAAUAAAUUAAAAUUUCGUUUUUAUUUUUAAUUUAGUUAUACAUUUUAUUUAUUAAGGGUAUAAACGAUAUUAACCAUUCUAACUUUUAACGUGAGAGUUCGAUUCCAAAAAUUUACUUCGCAAAUAAUAGUAUAGAUUUGCACACACCAUUUAAAUUAGCAAAAAAGUCGUUUAUUCUAGUCUUUUUAAAAUAUUUUUUUUUCUGACUGAAAACUGAGGUCUUGUAUUGUAUAAUAAUCAAUAAGUAAUAAAUCCGGUUAUUAAUUUAUUUUUAUAGUCAAGCUGACCUAAAACAAACCAAGGUCUACUUAAAAUAUUAGCCAAAUUAUAAAUUCAGUAAAAUAUUAUUCUCUUGAAGAAUUGCAUCAACACGGAUUAGGAAGUCACAAGGAAGAUCAAGAAUCAACGACUAAAGCCGUAAGAGUGACCAACAAGCUCUCCUAAAGCAACUUAUCUGCGAAACUAUACAGUGUAAACCACUUCAACGACAAGACUUCAGCUCAGUUUUCAAUCAAUCAAAAUGAUUUGUCUUAAUUCAACAUCGGAGAGAAAUGAGUUCCCCUGUAUGCAUUUAAUAUGUUCUCCGUGUGCCAACAUAUAUGUAUGUAUACCUGUUUGUUUUGAGUUAAAACAAUAGUUAUGUACCGUUGAUUUAAUAUCCCUUGAGUUAGAGGCUAGAGGAGCAUGGCUACGCAUUCCGUAGCUACAGCAAGCUCAGUUUGUAGUUUUGCCAUAAGCUCUUGCGAAAGAAAACAUAACAAGUGUAAUCAUUAGCCUUUUCAAGCCAUAACGGUCCUGAAGUUGUUCACAGAGACAAUUCAUCAAACACGUGGAAUGCACCUGGUUCCACGAGUUGUCGCUGAGAUUUUGAGAGCAACAAGAUCCGUAAUGGAAGCAUUUAUUAUAAUUUAUAAACCCUAGACUGACAAACCAGACACGAAUCCAGAAACCGUAGUAACAGAGACAUAAAUACCAUCACAAUCCGUCGUCAAGUAAAGAUUGUUCUUUUUUUUGUGGCGGGUAAUAUUAUAGCCGUUUCCUUGAAACGGUUAGCCUAUUGAUGUGUUUUGAUCUGACGAUCCAAAUUUUGCCACGUUGCUGGGCAAUUUUCACUGCUAUCAUUUGCUCGUGUCUCAUAUAACCGACUACAUAUUACUUUUGUUAAGGGUUUUUAUUUGUCAGAAUUGAUUUCAUAUAUAUUUGUAUGAGCAAUUCUACGAGGGACUUUUUAUUUUGAUUAUUGCAUCAUUCGUUGCAGAUAUACGUGUAAGUUAUCCAAUGAAUUUUCUUUUAUAAAUUAAAAUUUAAAUAUUAGAACGUACGUACAAAACAUUUUAAGUAAAAAAAAACUAAAUUAGCUAGUGCAUACUAUAUUUUUAAAAAUGAAUUUUUUUUUUUUUUUUGAACUUAGCUUUUUAAAAAUGAAUCUUUUCCUGUCAAAAUCUUGUCUUCCUGUCAAAUCGAGAGUCAAAACCGCAAAAAAAAAAAAAAAAAAAAAAGAAUUAAAAUGUUUUGAAUAUCGAAAACCCCGUAUAGUAGAUUUGUAUUGUAGUAUGUUUGCUUUGUACUUUCAAUGACUCAUUAUAACAAACAGAUUCAAUUUGUAAUUUUAUAUUUCUUUAUCUUAUAUGGUACUUAUUGGAUCCCAUAAAUAGCCUAUGUAAACAUGAUCGUUAAUGAGCCGAGUCCUAAUGGACAUGGUUACUAUUUAUCCACAAACAAAAAAUGUCCAUACGAACAUAAAAACGCGAACAGGCCAAUUGACAGCUAUAAAAAAUCCGGCAACGGAACCAAUUCUUCAAGAUACUGGACAACUUGUUCCAAGUUAGGUCUCGCUUCCGGCACAGACAGAGACGAAAGAAGAUUCUCCACUCAGUUUGUGAUCACGAGUUUUGGGUAUAGCUUUCUUUCUCCAACACUCACUAUUUAUGGGACACUCUCUUCACUGCUAUUUUUCUGCCUUGAGGAAGAUUUCAUCUUAAAUAUAGAUUUCACCAAAACCUCCUUUCCUGACGGCCUAUGUGCCUUCUGAAUACUUACUGUUGAAACGAGACAGUCUCAAAGAGAUAAUUCUUAUUCACGGAAUACUUUUCUGAAUAAUACUUUGAUCUUCUCUGAUGAUUAGAAUUAAAACAUAAUACAAUAAUUUUUAGAAAGAGAAACGUAACUGCACUCAUAUUAGAUUUAGCUCACAUACUGAUUAUUUGAUAUUAUAAUAAAUAGAAAUUAACCCUCAAAACUGAUUAAACCAUAAUACAUGAAUAGCAACCAAAUUAAACUUUUGCAACAUAUUCUCUGUAACAUUCCGAGUUGUGAUAUGUGAAAAGGCUUAAGAGAAUUGAUUUGGCUACCUAUGUCACCAAAGUUGACUUACCUUUUCCGGAGCACAUCCUGAAAGAACUCCAGAGUUAAGCGUGCUUGAGCUGGAGUAGUGGAAGGAUGGGUGAGUGAUUCGCGAUAGCGUGCGAGUGAGGCCAAAGCAUAGGAAAAGGUCGGGUGGUGAUUGCAGGGUCAGUAAACAAUGAUUUCGACCCUUGGAAAAUUAACGGCCCGACCGUCGGAUGGGAUGGGGCCCACGGGCCGAGAGAGCGGGCGUGGGUGGCCCAUUAGCCGUGGGCGAUCGGGGCCUUAUAUUCUCAUUCAUUGUCAUAUAUGCUCAUGUUUGAAUCACAUUUCAACAAAACGGCAGAACAAUAAUAAAAAGCGUAUGAAGCUUCUUAUGUGGAGUUUUUUUUAGGAUGACGAACUUGAGGAAGUUUUGAGAUGUCAAGUCGCUCCAGUGAUCCUCUCUCUGUACUGAAACUCCACCCAACAAUAUAUUGAUCACUGACCGCUGCACCUGAUGAUGCAGAGAACCCAACAAACAGUCUUGAACUAUUUGGAAAAACUUCUGUAAGAUUGAUGUGUUGUGACAAAAGAGGCCGACUUGGCUUCUUGACUUCAAGUGGAGCCAUUGAGACAUUGAGCAUAGUGCCAUCAUAAUCCACCCACACUUGUAUAGGCUUUCCACUCAAGAGGUUUAUGCUUUCGUUUUGCCUUUUCAUGUCUGAAUAGUAAGAUGCUGAAGCUAUUCCGACAGAUACAGAACUGUUCACAUCAAUCCCCACGUGAUUGUUAUCAAUGUCACUGAACUCCGGGUUCCAUAUAGUGUCAAGCUCAACAGCAAGAACGUGAGAAGAGGGAGAUACAAUUGUUGAUGUGUUGAAAACUCCCAAGUAUCUGUUUGGCUGCGCAUGAGAAAAAUCCAUAGAAGGAGAUACCACGAAGGCAAUACCGUGGCCACCUUCAUAUCCUGGACGAGGCACCAGAGCGCAAACAAAGUGUGUUGAGAAAGAGAGUGGUUUAGAGGAACUGAGUCCAAUUGGUUUCUUGUAGAAAACAUGACCAGUUUGAUGCUCUGAAGCGCUUGUCAGCUGUAAUAAUCCACUGGGAAGUACAUUUGCAGAUUUAUCUAGAUAAAGAUUCUCUUGGUCAAGAAAGUUUUCAUAGAAAAACCUUUUUUCUUGUUGACUUGAUAGAGAGAUGAGAUGAAGAGAAGAGAUAAUCAGGAUAUGAAGCAGCCAACAAGACAUCACUAAUGAUGAAGCAGAGAGAGUUUGGGUCUAAUGUGCAAAUCUGUCCCCUCAAAACAACGCAAUCUCAUAACCUUUACUUUCAAGCUGGAUAAAAAAAUGAACAAAAAAACGUGAGCUUCUAUUUUAGUAAUCAAAGUCUACCAAACUUUCUAGUACUGUUUAUUUAAUAACAAAAUUCACAUGGUGCUUCUCAAAAUAUUCGAUCUGAGAAAAUAUUUUAACUUAUUUAGAUCUCAACUUGAAUCAGAGUAGACAACCGCGUUUGCUGCAUGGAGCUACCCUGAAACAAUAGUAUAAUAUGCACCAACUUGAAGCUAUCUUAAAUGGAAGCAGACAAAAUAUACUAUUAGAAAAAUAACAUAUUUUAAACAUGACCUUGACCUUCCGGUCUCACAAUAGAAAAACCCAUGUGUUUGUGAUGAUACUUCUACAUAGUUAUGGGCCAGACCAAAAGGAAGAACCCUAGGAAAGCCUGGCAUAUGCAUGACAACUACGAACGUUCUUGAUAUCUCCGGUGUAUAUAUAACAAGUCAUGAUUAGUCCAAGCAUGAAACUUCACUUGUCAUGAUUAAUUCUUCAAUACCAAGAAGAUGAGGGAAAAUUCACCUUGUCCCAAAGUCCAACUGAGGCUUCCUUCCCGAUGCAGCAAUAUGAGUCAGAACUGAAAAGCUAGGAAAGCUUGGAGAGUAAAAACACACUUAUGUUCUCUAGAUGAUGAAGUUAGCUUUACCGUAUUGGGUCUUACUAUAUUAACCAAACCCUUCAUGUGCAAAAGCAAUCACUGAAGCUAAGUAUGGAGAGAGUAGAAUAGAAAGCUGAUGUGAGAGUGGGAACUCCCAUAGUUAAGCAAUGAAGAUACCAGAUCUUCUUCACUUGUUUUGAUUAUGCAAGCAGCCACCAAUAUCAGAACAAGAUUAAACUUAGUGAACAAGAAAAAAUGAAUUUAGUUGAAAAUUGGUUCGGAAUGGUUUUUGGUUUAAAACUUCAACACUUCUUCCAUUCGGAUUCAAAAUCUCUAUGACUAAUUUAUAACCAUUUUAACCAGAUUGAAAUCAAUUAUAAGUUCUGAAAAUAGUUUAUUUGUUUAUUGGAUCGAAUACUUAUAUGGACUGAAACAUCCAUCCAUAUUUACAACAAUCAUUUCAAUAUAAACGGUUGACAUAAUACACACAUCAUGAACUAGUUCUCACAUGUAUGUUAGACUCCAUUACGACUAGGUUUGUAGUCUCUCGUAGGAGUGACUGUUAUCCAAUCGUCACAUCAUAUGUAGCUAAACAUUUUCUCUCGAGUACAAUCAAAACCCUGACAAUUAAAAACUCUUGUUGCAAUAAUAACCAUACACAUUUUUCCUAUAUGUUUAUAAUCAUAUCACCAAAGUGGAUAAACAUGUUGCGAAGGGACAAACUUAGUACAUUAGGACAAGGGAGACUGAUCGCUACAACAAUCUUGAGAGCUGCUAAAGAUCUGUUUGCUGAUAUGAACGGGAAUUACCUCUGACUGCUGAUGCUGUAAAGAUUGAACUCAAAACUCUUCUGUAGGCGACCUGACAGUUUCAACAGCUGGUUAGAAAGUCUGAGUCUUAGGCUUCUCCGCUUCUGAAACUAUGUGAAGAGAGUUCUUAGUCUCUAUUGUCUGUCCCCAAGGCUGAUCUGUUGACUGACCAGCGUAAGGUGAGUGGUUUGCAGAAGAUGAUGACAUCGAGGGCGCUGACCAACUCCAUGAAGCGGAUGAGACUACCAGGGAAGCUGCAUCAACCAGAACCGGAGCAAAUGUGCCGAUCCCCACAGUAUAUGGUGAGAAAUCAGGCAAAGGCAGGUUGUUGUUUAGGUACAAGACCACUUGUUCCAUCGUAGGUCUAGACUCUGGCACGAUAUUUGAACAGAGCAACCCGAGUUUCAUAACCAUCUCGACUUCCUCUGGUAAGAACUCAUCUCCCAGUCUUGGAUCAGUGGCAUCGAGCAAAGCAUCCUUCUUCCAACACUCGCAAACCCAUUUGAUCAUAUGUCGUUUCUCAGGUUGCAACUGCGGUUCCAAUGGUCUUCUCCCACAUGCUACUUCAAGCAUGAAAACACCAAAGGCGUAAACAUCAGUUGCAGUGGAAGCUCCCAUUGUGAUUAGCUCAGGUGCCAUGUACCCUACUGUUCCCACAGCAGCUGUUGUGGCUGCAUCGCCUCCGUGUUCAUGAAACCUAGCCAUGCCAAAAUCUCCUAACCUACCAUUGAACUCAGCGUCCAACAUAAUGUUUGAAGCUUUGACAUCUCGGUGCAGAACAACUUGGUCAGCAGCUGUAUGGAGGUACCACAGAGCAGACGCUAUUCCUUUAACAACCACAAGUCUCUGUGACCAAG
rnacentral:lncRNA from 1 species